GGGGAUCACGGGGUUAGCAAUAACUCCGUGGUUCUAGUGGCGCACGGGUGAGUAACACGUGGGUAACCUACCCUAGAGACUGGGAUACCCCCUCGAAAGGGGGGCUAAUACCGGAUACGUUCCUUGGGCCGACAGGUCUGAGGAGGAAAGGUGGCGAAAGCUACCGCUCUUGGAGGGGCUCGCGGCCUAUCAGCUAGUUGGCGGGGUAACGGCCCACCAAGGCUAUGACGGGUAGCUGGUCUGAGAGGACGACCAGCCACACGGGGACUGAGACACGGCCCCGACUCCUACGGGAGGCAGCAGUGGGGAAUUUUCCGCAAUGGGCGAAAGCCUGACGGAGUGACGCCGCGUGUGGGACGAAGGCCUUCGGGUCGUAAACCACUGUCAGUGGGAAAGAUGGGUGCCGGUGUGAUAACCGCCGGCAUUUGACGGUACCUGCAGAGGAAGCCCCGGCUAACUCUGUGCCAGCAGCCGCGGUAAGACAGAGGGGGCAAGCGUUGCUCGGAAUUACUGGGCGUAAAGGGCGCGUAGGCGGGAUGGCAAGUCGGUCGUGAAAUCCCUCGGCUCAACUGAGGAGCGUCGAUCGAUACUGCCGUUCUUGAGGAUUGCAGAGGAGACUGGAAUUCCCGGUGUAGCGGUGAAAUGUGUAGAGAUCGGGAGGAACACCGGUGGCGAAGGCGGGUCUCUGGGCAAUUCCUGACGCUGAGCGC
rnacentral:rRNA from 1 species